rnacentral:rRNA from 1 species
UACGGAGGAUGCGAGCGAUAUCCGGAUUUAUUGGGUUUAAAGGGUGCGUAGGCGGCGAGUUAAGUCAGCGGUAAAAGCCCGGGGCUCAACCCCGGCCCGCCGUUGAAACUGGCUGGCUUGAGUUGGGGAAAGGCAGGCGGAAUGCGCGGUGUAGCGGUGAAAUGCAUAGAUAUCACGCAGAACCCCGAUUGCGAAGGCAGCGUACCGGCCGGUCACUGACGCUGAGGCUCGAAAGCGUGGGGAGCAAACAGG